rnacentral:rRNA from 1 species
GACGAACGCUGGCGGCGUGCUUAACACAUGCAAGUCGAGCGGAAAGGCCUCUUCGGGGGUACUCGAGCGGCGAACGGGUGAGUAACACGUGAGUAAUCUGCCCUGUGCUCUGGGAUAGCCAUCGGAAACGGUGAUUAAUACCGGAUAUGACCCUUGUACGCAUGUGUGGGGGUGGAAAGUUUUUCGGCGCAGGAUGUGCUCGCGGCCUAUCAGCUUGUUGGUGAGGUAAUGGCUUACCAAGGCUAUGACGGGUAACCGGCCUGAGAGGGUGACCGGUCACACUGGGACUGAGACACGGCCCAGACUCCUACGGGAGGCAGCAGUGGGGAAUAUUGGACAAUGGGCGGAAGCCUGAUCCAGCAACGCCGCGUGAGGGAUGACGGCCUUCGGGUUGUAAACCUCUUUCAGUACCGACGAAGCGCGAGUGACGGUAGGUACAGAAGAAGGACCGGCCAACUACGUGCCAGCCGCCGCCGUAA